GUUUGAAGCUGUUUAUUAUGGCUCAGGCGUCGCUGCUGUCAGCCGCUCUGUAUGAGCUCUUGAAAGAGAUUCUUGAAGUGACUGGAGUGUCAGUCCUUGAUUGUCUUUGCACUCUCAGGAAAUGUAAGAGCGUGCGGCUCCUCAGCCAUCACAGUAUUGAUACUGUAGGACGGGUGUCUCAGAACCGCCGAGCGUCUGAUCCAAGCUGACAGUUUGCCGGAGAACCGUACCUGAUGCAGGUGUUUGCAGUUCCGGUGAUAUUCCUGAGUUUCGGUGUUUCAGAUGAUCUAAGAGCGUCCGUCCUCCAAGCCACAGCAGGAGAUAACUGUAGUGUUCCUCUUCCAAUUUUUCGUGGAGUGGGCCCUUGAACAUCAGCUCAGUGUGUUGUUGGAAUCUCCUCCAUGCGUCAGGCAAAUCCAGGGAAUCCCAGUCCAUGCUGGGCAUCAGCACGCCAGCGGAGUCCAUCUUCUCUUCCUGUCAUCGUAGCCACCAGUUCCAGUCUGUAUCCAGAUCAGAGGGUCACUGCAGUCACCCGGAUCCAGUACGUAUCCAGACCAGAUGGUGGAUCAGUACCUAGAAAGGACCUCUACAGCCCUGAAAGACAGCAGAGACCAGGACAACUAGAUGAGCCCCAGAGACAGAU
ensembl:lncRNA